rnacentral:rRNA from 1 species
UACGAAAGGGGGGCUAGCGUUGCUCGGAAUUACUGGGCGUAAAGGGCGCGUAGGCGGACAGUUUAGUCAGAGGUGAAAGCCCAGGGCUCAACCUUGGAACUGCCUUUGAUACUGACUGUCUUGAGUUCGGGAGAGGUGAGUGGAAUGCCGAGUGUAGAGGUGAAAUUCGUAGAUAUUCGCAAGAACACCAGUGGCGAAGGCGGCUCACUGGCCCGAUACUGACGCUGAGGUGACGAAAGGCGUGGGGAGCAAACAGG